rnacentral:lncRNA from 1 species
GCCAGCGAGAGGCUGACCAAGCCCAUUUGCCUUCUGUGUCACGGGUGGGACUCAGAGAGAAGACGGUUUUGGGAAACAGAAGAAAAACACCCGGUAGAAUAGGUGAUUUCUGAGGAUGCUGUCUAAGGACCUCGCUGGGACCGAGCUCAGCUGGCUUCCUCCAGGACCCACAGUAGCUGCCUGGACCUCACCACCUCAGUCUCUGCUUCUGUGGAAACCACAGAUGCCCAGCAAGCACUGUUCUUUUCAGGGCUUUGACUUCUACUGGCUGUGACUGGGCACCUGGAUGGGAAACCUGAAGUCAAUGUCUCCUUUCUUUGUGUCAUGGCUACCAAGACUGGCAAGUGUCCGGGUGAAUCCUCUACUCUUGAUGUGAAGCCCAAGUACCGCCUCAGAGACUGGUGCACCCUGCCCUGGUCACCUAAAGCAGGAGCAUGUGGCCAUGGGGUACAGCCACG